rnacentral:rRNA from 1 species
GACGAACGCUGGCGGCGUGCUUAACACAUGCAAGUCGAACGGAAAGGCCCUGCUUUUGUGGGGUGCUCGAGUGGCGAACGGGUGAGUAACACGUGAGUAACCUGCCCUUGACUUUGGGAUAACUUCAGGAAACUGGGGCUAAUACCGGAUAGGAGCUCCUGCUGCACGGUGGGGGUUGGAAAGUUUCGGCGGUUGGGGAUGGACUCGCGGCUUAUCAGCUUGUUGGUGGGGUAGUGGCUUACCAAGGCUUUGACGGGUAGCCGGCCUGAGAGGGUGACCGGCCACAUUAGGACUGAGGUACGGCCCAGACUCCUACGGGAGGCAGCGGUGGAGAGUAUUACACAGUGGGCGGAAGCCUGAUGCGGCAACGCCGCGUGCGGGAUGACGGCCUUCGGGUGGUAAACCGCUUUCGCCUGUGACGAGGCGUGAGUGACGGUAAUGGGUAAAGAAGCACCGGCUAACUACGUG